CCUUCUCAAUGAGACUGGCGACG
rnacentral:piRNA from 1 species